GAUGAACGCUAGCUACAGGCUUAACACAUGCAAGUCGAGGGGAAACGAUAGAGAAAGCUUGCUUUUUCUAGGCGUCGACCGGCGCACGGGUGAGUAACGCGUGUCCAACCUGCCCAUCACUUGGGGAUAACCUUGCGAAAGUAAGACUAAUACCCAAUGACGUCUCUAGAAGACAUCUGAAAGAGAUUAAAGAUUUAUCGGUGAUGGAUGGGGAUGCGUCUGAUUAGCUUGUUGGCGGGGUAACGGCCCACCAAGGCGACGAUCAGUAGGGGUUCUGAGAGGAAGGUCCCCCACAUUGGAACUGAGACACGGUCCAAACUCCUACGGGAGGCAGCAGUGAGGAAUAUUGGUCAAUGGGCGAGAGCCUGAACCAGCCAAGUAGCGUGCAGGAUGACGGCCCUAUGGGUUGUAAACUGCUUUUAAAAGGGAAUAAAGUGAGUCUCGUGAGACUUUUUGCAUGUACCUUAUGAAUAAGGACCGGCUAAUUCCGUGCCAGCCGCCGCGGUAA
rnacentral:rRNA from 1 species